AAUCGAACCACCUGUAAGUGUGUAAAUAAUUUCUCAGCUUUCUCUCCACUCCGUCUUCACACCUUCCCUUUGCCUUUUCUUCUUCACUUUGUUUCGCGUUCUUUCACCUUAACUUCUCCUUCGCAUUGCCUUUCCUUUGCCUUUUUAUCUUUUUCACUCUGUCACUCGUUCCCCAACCCUGCGCUCCUUCACGUCGCGUUUUGCAUCUUCUCCACUCUGACUCUCCCCCAACCCCAAUGUCCCUCGGCUCCCGCAACGACCAGAACUCCGCCGCAAGUUGCUCGAGCUUGGACGGAAGACAAGCUCCAAGGUGGCGAUCGUAGAGCAGGAAAUCACAGGUAACAUGUGGAUGUGCUGUUGGAGUUGUUGCUGCAUUUAGAGCUCAGUUGGUGGUGUGUUGUUUGCUUUGGAAGAGGUUACAUCUUGGUGGAGCAGUCAACUAAUGUGUCGUGUCUUCUUCACUUCUGUUGUUGUUGUGGUUCGAACUGCAAUGGGAUGGUGUAAGAGUGGAAAAUGUGGACAUUUUGGGUCCGGUGAAUUUAUAAUAUGAGAUAUAUCAAAGUUAAGAUCUAAGUUGUCACCUUUUUCACUGUUAGUUGAAUAGUCAGAUAUUUGUUUUCUUCCUUCCCCUUCUUGACUGAUUUGUUUUUAGUGGCCAAGAGGAUUAUUCCUUUGUAGAGUUAUUUCCAAUGGCUAUUAUUGGGGUUAUUGGAGGUCUACUAGGUAGUAAUUUUUUCCUUUAUUUUGGACUUCAUCUGUACUGUGGGUUUUACUUGGAUCUUGUUCGGUUUUACUUGGACUUCAAUAAUUUGUAGGAGCUUUAUUCAACCAACUUACUCUUUAUAUUACCACUUGGCGACGAAAUCAUGCCUUGUAUCCAUUUUAACGUUAGUGAUUUCAUUUGGAUUGCCACUUCUAAGAGAAUGUACUCCUUGCCCUAAAUCUGAUUCUGCAUCUGGUAUUGAAUGUCCUCGACCUCCUAGAAUGUAUGGAAAUUAUGUAAA